rnacentral:lncRNA from 1 species
ACAACAUUUCUCUCAACUCAGUAUCGUGUUAUAAAUACCUCGGAGUGCACAUUACAAAUAAUCUCUCAUGGAAACUACAUAUCGAAC